rnacentral:rRNA from 1 species
UAGUCCACGCCGUAAACGAUGAUUACUUGCUGUAGGCGAUACACAGUCUGUGGCUAAGCGAAAGUUUUAAGUAAUCCACCUGGGGAGUACGAUCGCAAGAUUGAAACUCAAAGGAAUUGACGGGGGCCCGCACAAGCGGAGGAACAUGUGGUUUAAUUCGAUGAUACGCGAGGAACCUUACCUGGACUUAAAUGUACGUUGCAUAGAUUGAGAUAGCUAUUUCUUCGGACCACUUACAAGGUGCUGCAUGGUUGUCGUCAGCUCGUGCCGUGAGGUGUCAGGUUAAGUCCUAUAACGAGCGCAACCCCUGUUGUUAGUUGCCAGCGAGUCAUGUCGGGAACUCUAACAAGACUGCCAGUGCAAACUGUGAGGAAGUGGGGAUGACGUCAAAUCAUCACGGCCCUUACGUCCUGGGCUACACACGUGCUACAAUGGUAGGGACAGAGAGCAGCCACUGCGCGAGCAGGAGCGAAUCUAUAAACCCUAUCAC